rnacentral:lncRNA from 10 species
CCAUGCGCGCCCCCACACUGAGCUCUUUCCUUCCUGCUUCUCCUUCUUCCCCAUCUCCUGCCCGAAGAUCCUCCGUGUUGGGCUGAACUUUUGCCCUCUCUUGUCCCCAUGUUAUGGAAGGGCAGCGGCUGGUGUCCCAGGCCAGCCUGUCUGGAGCCUCCCUGCGCGUCUCACAGCUCCCUUCCCAUGGUAGCGUGUUCCCAUGGCGCGGUGACCUACAAAUUACACAAGGGAUGCAUUUGCAAAGGACACUUUAUUUCUUGUUAAGGGUGACAGCCUGCAAGGUAGCCAUCCAGCAGCCUGGGAAGAGCAGCCUCUGGUUAACACCAGAGACAGACAUUUAGGAGCAGGAGGGGUUUGGGCAGGAGCUUUAUGCUGAAGAGGUUGGCUAAACAUACAUAUUCAACAGGCUACAGGAGGAGCUAUGAAUAUUCAUGUAGGUGGUUGCAGUCCAUGCUUAUUGAACAAACAUGUGUGGAACAUAUGAUCCCAUCCGGAUGGUGUUCACCAUGUUGAGAGAGCAAAGAGAUGGCAAUUAUAGAAGGAGAAAUGUUCUCUUGCCCUAUGUAAAGCCCAUGGGCACUAGGAAGGGCUGGGAGCUGGGAGGUUCUAUUGCUGAGUCGCUGCGUUUGGAGCAAGGAGUCCAAGACUUACAGCCAUUUAUCGCAGAAGCUAUGGAUAAAGCUGGUUUCAGGGUACAAUGCACAGUCUCAGGAGUCAGGCUUGCAGAGAAGUCCAUUUCGGAAACAAUGUUGUGUGGCCUGACUGCUUUUCCUCCCUGGCUCCUGGCCUCUGUUUUAGCUGGGUAGGACAUGAAUGACCCAAUUCAUAGGAUGAAAUUUACAAAGGAUGUUUCUCAAAACUUCGGGUUUUCAACUUACAUAUAUUCACACCUGUUUAGGUUGAGUUUAUUUAUCGAUUUAUUUUCAGGCAGGGUCUCUAUCUGUUGCCCAGACCCGAGUUCAGUGGCGCGAUCUCUGUUCACUCCAGCCUCCACCUCUCGGGCUCAAGUAAUCCUCCCACUUCAGCCUCCCAAGUAGCUUGGACUACAGAUGCAUGCCACCACAUCUGGCUUUUUUUUUUUUUUUUUUUU